rnacentral:rRNA from 1 species
UACGUAGGUGGCAAGCGUUACUCGGAAUCACUAGGCGUAAAGCGCAGGUAGGCGGUUCGGUAAGUCUUUUGUGAAAGCUCCCGGCUCAACUGGGAGAGGUCAAAGGAAACUACCGGGCUAGAGUGUGGUAGGGGAAACUGGAAUUCCUGGUGUAGCGGUGAAAUGCGUAGAUAUCAGGAGGAACACCGAUGGCGAAGGCAGGUCUCUGGGCCGAUACUGACGCUGAGGAGCGAAAGCGUGGGGAGCGAACAGG